CAAUAAGCGGAGGAAAAGAAACUAACAAGGAUUCCCCUAGUAACUGCGAGUGAAGCGGGAAAAGCUCAAAUUUAAAAUCUGAGGGUCCUUGCGGCCUUCCGAGUUGUAAUCUAGAGAAGUGCUAUCCGCGCUGGACCGUGUACAAGUCUCCUGGAACGGAGCGUCAUAGAGGGUGAGAAUCCCGUCUUUGACACGGACUACCAGGGCUUUGUGAUGCGCUCUCAAAGAGUCGAGUUGUUUGGGAAUGCAGCUCUAAAUGGGUGGUAAAUUCCAUCUAAAGCUAAAUAUUGGCGAGAGACCGAUAGCGAACAAGUACCGUGAGGGAAAGAUGAAAAGAACUUUGGAAAGAGAGUUAAACAGUACGUGAAAUUGUUGAAAGGGAAACGCUUGAAGUCAGUCGCGUUGGCCAGGAAUCAACCUUGCUUUUGCUUGGCGUACUUUCUGGUUAACGGGUCAGCAUCAAUUUUGACCGGUGGAUAAAGGUUAGGGGAAUGUGGCAUCUUAGGAUGUGUUAUAGCCUCUGGUCGUAUACAUCGGUUGGGAUUGAGGAACUCAGCACGCCGCAAGGCCGGGUUUUAACCACGUACGUGCUUAGGAUGCUGGCAUAAUGGCUUUAAUCGACCCGUCUUGAAACACGGACCAAGGAGUCUAACAUGCACGCGAGUGUUUGGGUGGAAAACCCGAGCGCGUAAUGAAAGUGAAAAUUGAGAUCCCUGUCGCGGGGAGCAUCGAUGCCUGGACUUGAUCUUUUGUGACGGUUCCACGGUUGAGCGUGUAUGCUGGGACCCGAAAGAUGGUGAACUAUGCCUGAAUAGGGUGAAGCCAGAGGAAACUCUGGUGGAGGCUCGUAGCGAUUCUGACGUGCAAAUCGAUCGUCAAAUUUGGGUAUAGGGGCGAAAGACU
rnacentral:rRNA from 1 species